UACGUAGGGUGCGAGCGUUAAUCGGAAUUACUGGGCGUAAAGCGUGCGCAGGCGGCUUUGCAAGACAGAUGUGAAAUCCCCGGGCUCAACCUGGGAACUGCAUUUGUGACUGCAAGGCUAGAGUACGGCAGAGGGGGGUAGAAUUCCGCGUGUAGCAGUGAAAUGCGUAGAUAUGCGGAGGAACACCAAUGGCGAAGGCAAUCCCCUGGGCCUGUACUGACGCUCAUGCACGAAAGCGUGGGGAGCAAACAGG
rnacentral:rRNA from 1 species